GACGAACGCUGGCGGCGUGCUUAACACAUGCAAGUCGAACGGAAAGGCCCUGCUUGCAGGGUGCUCGAGUGGCGAACGGGUGAGUAACGCGUGGGUGAUCUGCCCCUUACUUUGGGAUAAGCCUGGGAAACUGGGUCUAAUACUGGAUAGGACCAUGCUGUAGGUGGUGUGGUGGAAAGAUUAGUUUCGGUAAGGGAUGAGCUCGCGGCCUAUCAGCUUGUUGGUGGGGUAAUGGCCUACCAAGGCGUCGACGGGUAGCCGGCCUGAGAGGGUGGACGGCCACAUUGGGACUGAGAUACGGCCCAGACUCCUACGGGAGGCAGCAGAGGGGAAUAUUGCACAAUGGGCGCAAGCCUGAUGCAGCGACGCCGCGUGGGGGAUGACGGCCUUCGGGUUGUAAACUCCUUUCAGCCAUGACGAAGCCCUUGUGGUGACGGUAGUGGUAGAAGAAGCACCGGCUAACUACGUG
rnacentral:rRNA from 1 species